rnacentral:lncRNA from 1 species
UGAACCCCGAGUUCAGGUGGUUUCAGAAUUUUACUCCCAGCAUAUAAGGGGAGGGGCUCAGAAGUUCACAUUGUAAUACCGGGACCCCCAAAUAACUCUCAGACCACACAGUCUCAUUCCAGUUAAGCCUUUGUUGCUGGCCAGUGGCAGACACUCUGCUCUCGAAAGAAUGAGAUGGUCAGAGUGGUGCCCCUGCCUUCAAUUGGCUCCAUAUUUAAGCACAAAAACCAGAAAAGGCAAGUUUGGGGGUUCAGGCAACAUAAGCAAGCCUGAAAGUUGUGGUCAGGUAGUCUCCAGUUGGCCCCAUAGAUCAUUCUGUGUUCUUGGGGGAAUUUUCAUGAACAAAAGAAUCCAAACUGCCCCAGUCAUGAGCUUUUUGAGUGUCAUAGCUGAGUUCACAAAGUGGAGUCACCAUAGUCAAGUUGUCACAUCACACACAUAAAAGCAGGUUUUUCUUUCUCUGUUCUGGCCAAGUUAACCCUUCAAGGACAGCACCUGAGGAGGGGAGAGCUUCUUCUCCCCUUUGUUUCCUCCCCCACCAGCUGUAACCAUGGAGCCCAGUUGGUGACUUCUCUGUG